rnacentral:tRNA from 1 species
AUUGAAUUGCAAAUUCAAAGGAGCAGCUUCAAUUCUGCCGGGGCUU